AUGCAUGUCUAAGUACAGGCCGAUUUAACAAGGCGAAACCGCGAAUGGCUCAUUAAAUCAGUUGUGGUUUAUUGGAUCUUACUAACCUUACUUGGAUAACUGUGGUAAUUCUAGAGCUAAUACAUGCAACCAGGCUCCGACCGCAAGGGAGGAGCGCUUCUAUUAGAUCAAAACCAAUCGGACUUCGGUCUGUUCAUUUGUGAUGACUCUGAAUAGCUUUGUGCUGAGCGCACGGUCUCCGCACCGGCGCCGCAUCUUUCAAGUGUCUGCCUUAUCAGCUUUCGAUUGUAGGUUAUGCGCCUACAAUGGCUAUAACGGGUAACGGGGAAUCAGGGUUCGAUUCCGGAGAGGGAGCCUGAGAAACGGCUACCACA
rnacentral:rRNA from 1 species